rnacentral:rRNA from 1 species
ACUAAGCGUACACGGUGGAUGCCCUGGCAGUCAGAGGCGAUGAAGGACGUGCUAAUCUGCGAUAAGCGUCGGUGAGGUGAUAUGAACCGUUAUAACCGGCGAUUUCCGAAUGGGGAAACCCAGUGUGUUUCGACACACUAUCAUUAACUGAAUCCAUAGGUUAAUGAGGCGAACCGGGGGAACUGAAACAUCUAAGUACCCCGAGGAAAAGAAAUCAACCGAGAUUCCCCCAGUAGCGGCGAGCGAACGGGGAGGAGCCCAGAGCCUGAAUCAGUGUGUGUGUUAGUGGAAGCGUCUGGAAAGGCGCGCGAUACAGGGUGACAGCCCCGUACACAAAAAUGCACAUAUUGUGAGCUCGAUGAGUAGGGCGGGACACGUGGUAUCCUGUCUGAAUAUGGGGGGACCAUCCUCCAAGGCUAAAUACUCCUGACUGACCGAUAGUGAACCAGUACCGUGAGGGAAAGGCGAAAAGAACCCCGGCGAGGGGAGUGAAAAAGAACCUGAAACCGUGUACGUACAAGCAGUGGGAGCCUCUUAAUGGGGUGACUGCGUACCUUUUGUAUAAUGGGUCAGCGACUUAUAUUCUGUAGCAAGGUUAACCGAAUAGGGGAGCCGAAGGGAAACCGAGUCUUAACUGGGCGUUAAGUUGCAGGGUAUAGACCCGAAACCCGGUGAUCUAGCCAUGGGCAGGUUGAAGGUUGGGUAACACUAACUGGAGGACCGAACCGACUAAUGUUGAAAAAUUAGCGGAUGACUUGUGGCUGGGGGUGAAAGGCCAAUCAAACCGGGAGAUAGCUGGUUCUCCCCGAAAGCUAUUUAGGUAGCGCCUCGUGAAUUCAUCUCCGGGGGUAGAGCACUGUUUCGGCAAGGGGGUCAUCCCGACUUACCAACCCGAUGCAAACUGCGAAUACCGGAGAAUGUUAUCACGGGAGACACACGGCGGGUGCUAACGUCCGUCGUGAAGAGGGAAACAACCCAGACCGCCAGCUAAGGUCCCAAAGUCAUGGUUAAGUGGGAAACGAUGUGGGAAGGCCCAGACAGCCAGGAUGUUGGCUUAGAAGCAGCCAUCAUUUAAAGAAAGCGUAAUAGCUCACUGGUCGAGUCGGCCUGCGCGGAAGAUGUAACGGGGCUAAACCAUGCACCGAAGCUGCGGCAGCGACGCUUAUGCGUUGUUGGGUAGGGGAGCGUUCUGUAAGCCUGUGAAGGUGGCCUGUGAGGGUUGCUGGAGGUAUCAGAAGUGCGAAUGCUGACAUAAGUAACGAUAAAGCGGGUGAAAAGCCCGCUCGCCGGAAGACCAAGGGUUCCUGUCCAACGUUAAUCGGGGCAGGGUGAGUCGACUCCUAAGGCGAGGCCGAAAGGCGUAGUCGAUGGGAAACAGGUUAAUAUUCCUGUACUUGGUGUUACUGCGAAGGGGGGACGGAGAAGGCUAUGUUGGCCGGGCGACGGUUGUCCCGGUUUAAGCGUGUAGGCUGGUUUUCCAGGCAAAUCCGGAAAACCAAGGCUGAGGCGUGAUGACGAGGCACUACGGUGCUGAAGUGACAAAUGCCCUGCUUCCAGGAAAAGCCUCUAAGCAUCAGGUAACAUCAAAUCGUACCCCAAACCGACACAGGUGGUCAGGUAGAGAAUACCAAGGCGCUUGAGAGAACUCGGGUGAAGGAACUAGGCAAAAUGGUGCCGUAACUUCGGGAGAAGGCACGCUGAUAUGUAGGUGAAGCGACUUGCUCGUGGAGCUGAAAUCAGUCGAAGAUACCAGCUGGCUGCAACUGUUUAUUAAAAACACAGCACUGUGCAAACACGAAAGUGGACGUAUACGGUGUGACGCCUGCCCGGUGCCGGAAGGUUAAUUGAUGGGGUUAGCGGUAACGCGAAGCUCUUGAUCGAAGCCCCGGUAAACGGCGGCCGUAACUAUAACGGUCCUAAGGUAGCGAAAUUCCUUGUCGGGUAAGUUCCGACCUGCACGAAUGGCGUAAUGAUGGCCAGGCUGUCUCCACCCGAGACUCAGUGAAAUUGAACUCGCUGUGAAGAUGCAGUGUACCCGCGGCAAGACGGAAAGACCCCGUGAACCUUUACUAUAGCUUGACACUGAACAUUGAGCCUUGAUGUGUAGGAUAGGUGGGAGGCUUUGAAGUGUGGACGCCAGUCUGCAUGGAGCCGACCUUGAAAUACCACCCUUUAAUGUUUGAUGUUCUAACGUUGGCCCGUAAUCCGGGUUGCGGACAGUGUCUGGUGGGUAGUUUGACUGGGGCGGUCUCCUCCUAAAGAGUAACGGAGGAGCACGAAGGUUGGCUAAUCCUGGUCGGACAUCAGGAGGUUAGUGCAAUGGCAUAAGCCAGCUUGACUGCGAGCGUGACGGCGCGAGCAGGUGCGAAAGCAGGUCAUAGUGAUCCGGUGGUUCUGAAUGGAAGGGCCAUCGCUCAACGGAUAAAAGGUACUCCGGGGAUAACAGGCUGAUACCGCCCAAGAGUUCAUAUCGACGGCGGUGUUUGGCACCUCGAUGUCGGCUCAUCACAUCCUGGGGCUGAAGUAGGUCCCAAGGGUAUGGCUGUUCGCCAUUUAAAGUGGUACGCGAGCUGGGUUUAGAACGUCGUGAGACAGUUCGGUCCCUAUCUGCCGUGGGCGCUGGAGAACUGAGGGGGGCUGCUCCUAGUACGAGAGGACCGGAGUGGACGCAUCACUGGUGUUCGGGUUGUCAUGCCAAUGGCACUGCCCGGUAGCUAAAUGCGGAAGAGAUAAGUGCUGAAAGCAUCUAAGCACGAAACUUGCCCCGAGAUGAGUUCUCCCUGAGACUUUAAGUCUCCUGAAGGAACGUUGAAGACGACGACGUUGAUAGGCCGGGUGUGUAAGCGCAGCGAUGCGUUGAGCUAACCGGUACUAAUGAACCGUGAGGCUUAACC